UAAAAUGCAGAGAUGAGAAUUACUUCCUAUC
rnacentral:piRNA from 1 species